rnacentral:misc_RNA from 1 species
UCCGAGUUGACCCCGGCAGUCUCCUAUGAGUCCCCGCCAUAACGCGCUGGCAACAUAGAACGAGGGUUGCGCUCGUUGCGGGACUUAACCCAACAUCUCACGACACGAGCUGACGACAACCAUGCACCACCUGUAUACCGCCCUUGCGGACCCCCUAUCUCUAGGGGAUUUCUCCAUAUGUCAAACCCAGGUAAGGUUCUUCGCGUUGCAUCGAAUUAAUCCACAUGCUCCGCCGCUUGUGCGGGCCCCCGUCAAUUCCUUUGAGUUUUAGCCUUGCGGCCGUACUCCCCAGGCGGGGCGCUUAAUGCGUUAGCUACGGCACGGAUCCCGUGGAAGGAAACCCACACCUAGCGCCCACCGUUUACGGCGUGGACUAC